AACGCUGGCGGCGUAGCUUAACACAUGCAAGUCGAACGGAGAUUAAGGAAUUAGUUACUAAUACUUUAAUCUUAGUGGCGACGGGUGAGUAACGCGUGGGUAACCUACCCUUAAAACCGGGACAACAGCUGGAAACGGCUGCUAAUACCGGAUAAUCUUCUAGUUCGGCAUCGAACUAGGAGGAAAGGUGGCCUCUGAAUAUGCUACCGAUUAAGGAUGGACCCGCGUCUGAUUAGCUAGUUGGUAGGGUAGUAGCCUACCAAGGCGACGAUCAGUAGCCGGCCUGAGAGGGUGACCGGCCACACUGGGACUGAGACACGGCCCAGACUCCUACGGGAGGCAGCAGUGGGGAAUCUUCCGCAAUGGGCGCAAGCCUGACGGAGCAACGCCGCGUGAAUGAAGAAGGCCUUCGGGUCGUAAAGUUCUGUUGAAAGGGAAGAAGUCUGUGUGUGUGAAUAAUGCAUACAGGUGACGGUACCUUUUGAGGAAGCUCCGGCUAACUACGUG
rnacentral:rRNA from 1 species